rnacentral:rRNA from 1 species
GUGCCAGCAGCCGCGGUAAUACCGGCAGCCCAAGUGAUGGCCGCUGUUAUUGGGCCUAAAGCGUCCGUAGCUGGCCGCACAAGUCCGUCGGGAAAUCCGCCCGCUCAACGGGCGGCCGUCCGGCGGAACCUGUGUGGCUUGGGACCGGGAGGCCUGGGGGGUACGUGCGGGGUAGGAGUGAAAUCCCAUAAUCCCGCACGGACCACCGAUGGCGAAAGCACUUCGAGAAAACGGAUUCGACAGUGAGGGACGAAAGCCAGGGUCUCCAACCGGAUUAGAUACCCGGGGAGUCC